rnacentral:misc_RNA from 1 species
GAUGAAGAACGCAGCGAAAUGCGAAAAGUAAUGUGAAUUGCAGAAUUCAGUGAAUCAUCGAAUCUUUGAACGCACAUUGCGCCCGCUGGUACUCCGGCGGGCACGCCUGUCCGAGCGUCAUUUCAACCCUCAAGCCCUCCUUCGGGAUGGGCCUGGUGUUGGGGCUCGGCCGCCAUCUCCGGCGGCCGUCCCCUAAAUACAGUGGCGGUCACGUCGCGACUCCUUUGCGUAGUAGAAACACCUCGCUCCGGAUAGCAACGCGGUCCACGCCGUAAAACCCCCAAUUUUCAAUGGUUGACCUCGGAUCAGGUGGGAAUACCCGCUGAACUUAAGCAUAUCAAUAAGCGGAGGA